rnacentral:rRNA from 1 species
CGCGCAGGCGGCCAGGUAAGUCGAAUGUGAAAGCCCCCGGCUCAACUGGGGAGGGUCAUUCGAUACUGCUUGGCCUGAAGGUAGGAGAGGGAAGCGGAAUUUCAGGUGUAGUGGUGAAAUGCGUAGAUAUCUGAAGGAACACCAGUGGCGAAGGCGGCUUUCUGGCCUAUUCUUGACGCUGAGGCGCGAAAGCUAGGGGAGCGAACG